UCCAUAUCCCGAGGCUUUCUUGGUGAAAUCACCAGCUUCAAUGAAGCUGGGGAGAGACGACACUUUUUGUCGUCGUUGCAGUCGGAAGGAGAUGAUAAAAAAGGCUGAGGACGCGACAGGGCUCGCUGAUUCGCCGCCGAUGGCACCAAAACGAUCGAUCGCAACCCUGCUGGGCCCAAGUCUCUGCUUUCUUCUGAAUCUCUCCUCCAGAUAUCUGCUUCCGAUCGUUCCUUAGAUCUCUCUCUCUCUCUCUCUCUCUCCCCUCUGCCCUAAGCUUCGGAGUUAUCUUUCACCGUCGGGAAAUGGUGGCAACCACUUCGUUUUUGCCGGGAGGGUGUUAGAGGGUAGGGGGAUGGCGUCUGACUGCGGGAGUGAAGCGAUCCGACCGGCGACGGCGGAGGAGGAGGCGUCGAAGAGGAACACCGACCGCGUCUAUUUCUUGGCAUCACCUUUGACCUGCAAGAAGGGGAGUGACUGUGAGUAUCGGCACAAUCAGGGAGCCAGAAUGAACCCAAGGGAUUGCUGGUAUUGGUUAAAACGGAACUGCCUCAAUCCAAAAUGUUCAUUCCGCCAUCCGCCACUUGAUUCCUGGUUUGCAACACCGAUGCCUUCCUCAGGACCACUUCAACUUCUUCAAACUGCACCAACAACACAAAUCCCAGCUGCAUGUGCGCCUCUUAGUAAUAAUAUCAAUAAGAAAAGUUCUCCCUGCUACUAUUUCCAAAGGGGGCAGUGUUUGAAAGGUGAAUGGUGUCCUUUUAUUCACGGGCCACAUGAAUUUAGCAAUUCUGUCUUGCAGCAGGUUGCAAAAGCUUCUACAUGUCUUGCUGAACCACCAGCAACCAUUAAGGAUACACAGCAGAACAUCAAUAUGCAGCAGAAUGCUGUCAAACUUAAUCGUGAUAAACCAAAGGCAACCGGUGAAAUGCCAGUUAUAAUGCCACCUGUUAAGGUAGUCAUCAAAGACAAGAAUGCUUCUGAAGAUGACUUAUUAGAUCAUAAAGUGCUUCCACCUAAUUCAUUGAAUGGUGAACCUCCUGCACUGCCACAUAAUCCACAUAAUUUUGUUCCCACUAGCGGUGCCUGUUCUGUGAAUCAUCAGUUACAGCCUUUAGAUGAGCAACCCGUGGUUGGCAGGGAUACUGAUGAGUUAUUGCAUGAAUACUCCCCUGGUUUUGAUGUACUAGUGGAAGAUGAUAUCGAGGAUCCGGAUUUCUUUCACAAUGAAGAUAAUUUUGGAAGGGUGUCAGCUCAUAGUGGACAGCACCUGGAACCUGAAAAUGAGCGCCAUAGGGAUUACGAACCUAUGACCAGAAUUGAAAGGGAUCCAUGUAAUGGGAUAGACAAAUAUGACAAUUAUGAGCAAACACAAGGUAGAUAUGGUUGGGAUCCGAAGGGUGCUUGACAACGAGACAAUACUUGGUGGGAUGGAUUACUCAGAUUUGUGCCAUCAGCUACUUAAAAAACGAAAACUUAAUGGUUCAAGGUCUACUGGUGGUUUUGAUGGUCAUGGUGACUACUACCAGAGGGACGACUUGGAUGCUGAGAAGAGAGAUUAUGGUCGACAUUCCCGAGAUCAAAGGCAAUUUUCUCCAGAGAAAUCAAUAAGCAUUCGUCUACAAGGUAGGAUAACAUUUCCUGGGCGGUCUUCAGUAGAUAUAGCUAGCAAUUUGAACUUGGAGAAAGAGAGAGGCAGGAGACCUCGAGGCACACACUCACCAGUGAGGCGAAUGAACCACCAGACAAAACGUCCUGGGAGAAUAAAACAGCAACUAAGUGAGGAUUUCAGCAAAGACACAGCCACAAAGAGUAUUAGGAAUAAACCAACUAUAGGAGAUGACACAAACUCUCCAGAUUUUGCUGGUCCAAAAUCUAUUGCAGAGAUGAAAGGUGCAAGGAUUAAUGGACACUCCUAUGAGCGUUCAAUCAUAAGUAUCAUUGCUAAUACCAAUCUGAACAGAGUGAAGACUGGAGGAAUCAGAAGAUUGUUUAUCGUUUGAAGGUCCAAAGCCACUGAGUGACAUCCUGAACGGGAAAAGGGAGUUGGCAUACACAGACAGUGAAAUUUCUACUGGUCAGCAUGAAAACAUUCAAGGUGGUGGGGAACCUGCUGUCAAUGAUUCUGAGCUUGUAGCACCAAGUUUGCAAUCUGUUACUCCAUUAGAUGCUGAAAAAGAAACAAAUUAUACAAUUGACAACCAUAAAAGGCACAAGUUUAGAGCAGAUGAUGAUGAGAACCUAACUAAUGAAGGUCAGUCUUCAGCCAAAGCUGAUGAUGUGGAAAUCGAAGAGAACGUAGAAGAUGAACUGGAAAACUAUAAUCAGAGGGAUGAGGACUUUGGUCAUGGUGACGAAAACACAUUUCAGGGUGACGAAGAUGAGUUUGACGACGAAGAUGACUUUGCUAGAAAGGUCAGUGUCAUGAUAUCUUGAAAACUGAUGUAACAGGUAUCAGUUUUGCAUAUCCUGUUGUUGAAGAGGCCUCAAUCGGUCAAUAAUGUGAUCUUUUGAAUCUCUUGGAAGAUAAUGAUGGCACUUGCCAAUUUUUUUUUUAGAAGCACAGAGUGCCAAAGCAUUUCUCUUCUUUCUGGUUGACAUAGAGGCUCAAUGGAAUGAUAGCAUGCUGAAGAAUCACAAGUCCUCUUCAGUUGUUGAAUCUUGUUUGCUGCUCAGUUUUACCGAUUUUUGUUCUUUGGAACCUUGGUCGUGUAAGAUGCCUAGCAUUGCAAGGUAUUUGUUCUGUUUCAGUGCACCAACUAGAUAAGUAAUCAGUCACUUCUCCGAGGUAUGUUCUGCUCACCAAAAUUCUCAGAGUUGUUGAUAUGGUAAUGUAACUGUGAGAGUUCCAUCAUCCAUAUAUCUGGGUGGAGACAAUAUCGACUUCACAAUGUUGAGAAAUUGUGGCA